AGUGGCGGACGGGUGAGUAACGCGUGAGAAUCUGCCCUCAGGAGGGGGAUAACGGUUGGAAACGACCGCUAAUACCCCAUAUGCCGAGAGGUGAAAUGAAAUUCGCCUGAGGAUGAGCUCGCGUCUGAUUAGCUAGUUGGUAGGGUAAAGGCCUACCAAGGCAUUGAUCAGUAGCUGGUCUGAGAGGAUGAUCAGCCACACUGGGACUGAGACACGGCCCAGACUCCUACGGGAGGCAGCAGUGGGGAAUUUUCCGCAAUGGGCGAAAGCUGACGGAGCAACGCCGCGUGAGGGAUGAAGGCCUCUGGGCUGUAAACCUCUUUUAUCAAGGAAGAAGAACUGACGGUACUUGAUGAAUAAGCCACGGCUAAUUCC
rnacentral:rRNA from 1 species